ACUUGUGGAGUAUUGGCGUACUUCCGAUGCUGAGGUAUACAAAUAAGUUAUAUUUAUGAUAUGUAAACAUACAAAUCAUAUUUACAUACUUACAUUUGUUGAACCUGUUAUAGAAAAUUGCAAGUAGGAACGCUAAAAAUCGGUGAGUUCACGGCAUAGCUCAUACCACAGGGCGUACUACUUUCUCUAAGAUACGGCAUGAGAUGACCAGUAAGGGGGAGUCUACAGAUAAGAUGAAUGUUUGGCUUAUGACACGUAGAGUAGAUGACCCAGAGGUUAUUCAGACCUUGGAUGAGUUUAAUCGUCAACUCUCUAUGCUACCUGAGGAUGGUCGGACUUUGGAGGCUAGGAAUGCCAUUUUCCAUGAGUUGAUAGGUCAUGACGGACAUGGAUAUUGUCACACAUACGGGAAAAUUGUGCCUCGG